CAUGCAGUCGAACGAUGAACCACUUCGGUGGGGAUUAGUGGCGAACGGGUGAGUAACACGUGGGCAAUCUGCCCUGCACUCUGGGACAAGCCCUGGAAACGGGGUCUAAUACCGGAUACUGACCCUCACGGGCAUCUGUGAGGUUCGAAAGCUCCGGCGGUGCAGGAUGAGCCCGCGGCCUAUCAGCUUGUUGGUGAGGUAAUGGCUCACCAAGGCGACGACGGGUAGCCGGCCUGAGAGGGCGACCGGCCACACUGGGACUGAGACACGGCCCAGACUCCUACGGGAGGCAGCAGUGGGGAAUAUUGCACAAUGGGCGAAAGCCUGAUGCAGCGACGCCGCGUGAGGGAUGACGGCCUUCGGGUUGUAAACCUCUUUCAGCAGGGAAGAAGCGAAAGUGACGGUACCUGCAGAAGAAGCGCCGGCUAACUACGUGCCAGCAGCCGCGGUAAUACGUAGGGCGCGAGCGUUGUCCGGAAUUAUUGGGCGUAAAGAGCUCGUAGGCGGCUUGUCACGUCGGUUGUGAAAGCCCGGGGCUUAACCCCGGGUCUGCAGUCGAUACGGGCAGGCUAGAGUUCGGUAGGGGAGAUCGGAAUUCCUGGUGUAGCGGUGAAAUGCGCAGAUAUCAGGAGGAACACCGGUGGCGAAGGCGGAUCUCUGGGCCGAUACUGACGCUGAGGAGCGAAAGCGUGGGGGAGCGAACAGGAUUAGAUACCCUGGUAGUCCACGCCGU
rnacentral:rRNA from 1 species